GGCCAACCUUGGUCAAUAAACACUUUCCACAUUAAACCUAAGCUCUCCCUAUAUUUCAAAUAACCUUUCUCUCUCUAUCUCUCUCUCCCCUCGAUCUCUAUCUCUGAGCUCUUCACCACAUGGCGUCGUCUUCUUUCUCGUCCUCCGCCGCACAAACCCUUCUCCCAGCAAAUCCCUCUCCCUAACCUACCUCAUUGACUCCUGCGGCUUGUUCCCCGAAUCCGUCAUUUCCGCGUCCCAGAAGCUCCGCUUCAAGAGCACCGAGAACCCUAACGUCGUUCUCCGCCUCCUCCGCGACUACGGCUUCGGCACGACCCCUAUCUCCAAGCCUAUCUCCAGGUUCCCGGAAGUAAUUCGUAAGGUCAUCGACGUGCUCCAUCUAGGGCGAGCGAACGUCUCCAAGGCGGAGUUGAAGGAGAAGCUCGCGAAGCUGUACGAAGUGAAGGACCCGAACUCAAUCUUCGUCUUCAAGUUCCGAACUCACUUCAGUGGGGGAAAGUCCAUGGGAUUUGGGCUCAUCUAUGAUUCCGUCGAUAGCGUUAAGAAGUAUGAGCCCAAGUACAGGCUCAUUAGGGUAUGGAUUCAAUAAUUUAC